GGCGAACGCUGGCGGCGUGCCUAAUACAUGCAAGUUGAGCGCUGAAGGUUGGUACUUGUACCAACUGGAUGAGCAGCGAACGGGUGAGUAACGCGUGGGGAAUCUGCCUUUGAGCGGGGGACAACAUUUGGAAACGAAUGCUAAUACCGCAUAAAAACUUUAAACACAAGUUUUAAGUUUGAAAGAUGCAAUUGCAUCACUCAAAGAUGAUCCCGCGUUGUAUUAGCUAGUUGGUGAGGUAAAGGCUCACCAAGGCGAUGAUACAUAGCCGACCUGAGAGGGUGAUCGGCCACAUUGGGACUGAGACACGGCCCAAACUCCUACGGGAGGCAGCAGUAGGGAAUCUUCGGCAAUGGACGAAAGUCUGACCGAGCAACGCCGCGUGAGUGAAGAAGGGUUUCGGAUCGUAAAACUCGGUUGGUAGAGAAGAACGUUGGUGAGAGUGGAAAGCUCAUCAAGUGACGGUAACUACCCAGAAAGGGACGGCUAACUACGUA
rnacentral:rRNA from 1 species